rnacentral:rRNA from 1 species
CCUACGGGAGGCAGCAGUGGGGAAUAUUGGACAAUGGGCGCAAGCCUGAUCCAGCAAUGCCGCGUGUGUGAAGAAGGCCUUCGGGUUGUAAAGCACUUUUAUCAGGAGCGAAAUCUGCAGGGCUAAUACCCAUGCAGUCUGACGGUACCUGAGGAAUAAGCACCGGCUAACUCCGUGCCAGCAGCCGCGGUAAUACGGAGGGUGCAAGCGUUAAUCGGAAUUACUGGGCGUAAAGCGUGCGUAGGCGGUUCGUUAAGUCUGUUGUGAAAGCCCCGGGCUCAACCUGGGAAUGGCAAUGGAUACUGGCGAGCUAGAGUGUGUCAGAGGAUGGUGGAAUUCCCGGUGUAGCGGUGAAAUGCGUAGAGAUCGGGAGAACAUCAGUGGCGAAGGCGGCCAUCUGGGACAACACUGACGCUGAGGCACGAAAGCGUUGGGGANCAAACNGGAUUAGAUACCCUGGUAGUCCACGCCCUAAACGNUGACGAACUGGAUGUUCGUCUACAACUCGGANAUCAGUGUCGAGACUACGACGUUAGUUACGCCGCCGUCGGGUAGGUACGGUCGCGAGACGUAGAACGUACGAAGUAGAGUUAGACGGCGUUGGAGGACGNGCGACGGACGACGACGAGGGAGGAGG